rnacentral:misc_RNA from 1 species
CCAAAACAAACAAACAGAGACCCGAAUAAAUAGAAACAGAUCAACCCCCAAAGCCAUAGAGGGUGCGGCCCUGGCGCUUGAGAGCAUACACCACAUCCAUCGCCGUCACCGUCUUGCGGCGCGCGUGCUCGGUGUAGGUCACGGCAUCGCGGAUGACGUUCUCCAGAAAGAUCUUCAGCACGCCUCGGGUCUCCUCGUAGAUGAGGCCGCUGAUCCUCUUCACUCCGCCCCGGCGAGCCAGGCGGCGGAUGGCCGGCUUGGUGAUGCCCUGGAUGUUGUCCCGCAGCACCUUGCGAUGGCGCUUGGCGCCGCCCUUGCCGAGCCCCUUCCCUCCCUUGCCACGGCCUGACAUGAUUGAUGAGAGAUUCG